UACGGGGGGGGCAAGCGUUGUUCGGAAUUACUGGGCGUAAAGCGUGCGCAGGCGGUGAUGUAAGACAGAUGUGAAAUCCCCGGGCUCAACCUGGGAACUGCAUUUGUGACUGCAUCGCUGGAGUGCGGCAGAGGGGGGUGGAAUUCCACGUGUAGCAGUGAAAUGCGUAGAGAUGUGGAGGAACACCGAUGGCGAAGGCAGCCCCCUGGGCUAACACUGACGCUCAUGCACGAAAGCGUGGGGAGCAAACAGG
rnacentral:rRNA from 1 species